ACUAUUUUGGCAGAAUUAAGUGCGACAGAUUUAGAAUCUGUGAAUAUGAUUUAUAAUCAUAGAUAGUA
rnacentral:tRNA from 1 species